rnacentral:rRNA from 1 species
GUGACCUCAAAUCAGGUAGGACUACCCGCUGAACUUAAGCAUAUCAAUAAGCGGAGGAAAAGAAACUAACAAGGAUUCCCCUAGUAACUGCGAGUGAAGCGGGAAAAGCUCAAAUUUAAAAUCUGGCAGUCUUUGGCUGUCCGAGUUGUAAACUAGAGAAGUGUUAUCCGCGCUGGACCGUGUACAAGUCUCCUGGAAUGGAGCGUCAUAGAGGGUGAGAAUCCCGUCUUUGACACGGACUACCAGGGCUUUGUGAUGCGCUCUCAAAGAGUCGGGUUGUUUGGGAAUGCAGCUCAAAAUGGGUGGUAAAUUCCAUCUAAAGCUAAAUAUUGGCGAGAGACCGAUAGCGAACAAGUACCGUGAGGGAAAGAUGAAAAGAACUUUGGAAAGAGAGUUAAACAGUACGUGAAAUUGCUGAAAGGGAAACGCUUGAAGUCAGUCGCGUUGUCCAGGGAUCAACCUUGCUUUUGCUUGGUGUACUUUCUGGUUGACGGGUCAGCAUCAAUUUUGACUAUUGGAAAAAGAUUAGGGGAAUGUGACAUCUUCGGAUGUGUUAUAGCCCUUGGUUGCAUACAAUGGUUGGGAUUGAGGAACUCAGCACGCCGCAAGGCCGGGUAAUCUUACCACGUACGUGCUUAGGAUGCUGGCAUAAUGGCUUUAAUCGACCCGUC